rnacentral:tRNA from 1 species
UCUCUGGUGGUCCAGUGGCUAAGACUCUGCCAUCCCAAAGCAGGAGGCCUGGGUUCCAUCCCUGGUCAGGGAA